UAAGGAAUAUUGGUCAAUGGGCGAGAGCCUGAACCAGCCAUGCCGCGUGCAGGAAGACGGCCUUAUGGGUUGUAAACUGCUUUUGUACGGAACGAAACGGUCUCUCUUAAUACGGGAGGCUAAUGACGGUACCGCAGAAGGAAGCACCGGCUAACUCCGUGCCAGCAGCCGCGGUAAUACGGAGGGUGCAAGCGUUGUUCGGAAUUACUGGGCGUAAAGGGCGCGUAGGCGGUAAUAUAAGUCAAAUGUGAAAUCCUCCAGCUUAACUGGGGAACAGCAUCUGAAACUGUGUAACUAGAGUACAGGAGAGGGAAACGGAAUUCCCGGUGUAGAGGUGAAAUUCGUAGAUAUCGGGAGGAACACCAGUGGCGAAGGCGGUUUCCUGGCCUGAUACUGACGCUGAGGCGCGAAAGCGUGGGGAGCAAACAGG
rnacentral:rRNA from 1 species